rnacentral:rRNA from 1 species
AUGGCUCAGGAUGAACGCUAGCUACAGGCUUAACACAUGCAAGUCGAGGGGCAGCAUUGGGAUAGCUUGCUAUUCAGAUGGCGACCGGCGCACGGGUGAGUAACGCGUAUCCAACCUUCCUGCCAGUAGGGAACAGCCCGGCGAAAGUCGGAUUAAUGCCCUAUGUUCUUCAAUGCGGACAUCUAAGUUGAAGGAAAGAUUCAUCGCUGGCAGAUGGGGAUGCGUCCGAUUAGCUUGCCGGCGGGGUAACGGCCCACCGGGGCGACGAUCGGUAGGGGUUCUGAGAGGAAGGUCCCCCACACUGGUACUGAGACACGGACCAGACUCCUACGGGAGGCAGCAGUGAGGAAUAUUGGUCAAUGGGCGUAAGCCUGAACCAGCCAAGUAGCGUGCAAGGACGACGGCCCUACGGGUUGUAAACUGCUUUUAUGCGGGGAUAAAGUGCGGCACGUGUGCCGCUUUGCAGGUACCGCAUGAAUAAGGACCGGCUAAUUCCGUGCCAGCCGCUGC